rnacentral:lncRNA from 1 species
UCGCCAAUAAAACACCCAUUUUUGAGACUUUGUCUCAAGAGGUUUGUUCCUUACACAAUCUUCUGAUCCCUUUUUAAUUGUUAGCGACUACCCGCGCGAAACAACUUGAAUUUGGAUUAAUUUGGACAAAGAUCUUUCAGGAGACUAUGUCAAUUACUUCAUUUUCAAGGAGACAACAUGACAAUCAUUUAACCCAUGAUUGCCGUCAGAACUUUAUAUACAGAAAUACAGAGCUGUUUUUCAAAUGCGAUGGCUGCAAGAUGAAUGGGUUCGGAGAAAGGUACACGUGCAAUCUCUGUCGUAGUAGAUUCCACAUGGAGUGUGCACACCCCAUACCCUCCAUUUCCCAUGAGAAUUUUCCUGGCUCCAUCUUCAAAUUUUAUAGCGAACCAUUUACAGUAUGGGAUAUUAAAAAGAAUUGCAAAAAGUUCUCGAAGUUGUGCUAUGCAUGUGGAAAGGAAAUAUGCGGUUUUAACUACCAUUGUGGAGCAGACAGUUUGGAUUUACAUUCCAUGUUGUCGAAAACUUGAAAAUAAACUAAUAAUUGAUGAUAUGAUAUUUGAUCUUGUGACUAAGAUUUCAUCGAAGUGUGUUAAGUGCGGAAAGCGGAAGAUUUCUUGUGAUGAGAGAACUGUCCGAGGCUGGUCUUAUGUUUCCCAGUGCAAAAAGUAUCAUCUUCAUUUGUAUUGUUUAACUGAUAUAAUACAAGAGGCGUAUAUGAAGCGGGAGAACCUUACAUUGAAUGAUAUAGAUUCAAUAGAAUUAGUUACGCGUUACAGAAACGGAAAUGGUGAAAAUACAUUCGUUACAUGUGCCAAAUUGGUUAUCAAGAUUCUAGUGUCUGCUCUUUUGGGCGAUGUUACUACGCUAUUUUCCGGUGCCAUGGUGGAGUUGUUCUUCAGCCACUUGCGAUCAUAGUGUCUUUUUCUUCUUCUACUUUCAAUGCGGAUGACAUAAAUAAAUGUUUUUUUUUUUUUUUGGUUCUCAUGAAUCAAUUCAUUUGUCCAAUCAUGAGACAAUUGUGUGUGAACGAUGGUUAUUGCAAUGAACAUUUUAAUUUGAAUAAUCUUAUAGAGGAAGCAUUAUAAUAGACCAUUAGUAUAUUGUCCCCCUCCCCCACAUCCUUGACUCGGCACGUGGAUAUUAGUCAUGUCCCCGCUUAAUUGUUA